rnacentral:rRNA from 1 species
GCCGAUUGGACAAACCAAAACUUUUUUUGUAGUUGCAAUCAGCGUCUGAAAAUAAUCUAAUUAUUUACAACUUUCAACAACGGAUCUCUUGGUUCUGGCAUCGAUGAAGAACGCAGCGAAAUGCGAUAAGUAGUGUGAAUUGCAGAAUUCAGUGAAUCAUCGAAUCUUUGAACGCACAUUGCGCCCCUUGGUAUUCCAUGGGGCAUGCCUGUUCGAGCGUCAUUUGUACCCUCAAGCUUUGCUUGGUGUUGGGCGUCUUGUCGUAUUACGACUCGCCUUGAAUUCAUUGGCAGCCGGCACUUUGGCCUAGGAGCGCAGCACAUUUUGCGAUCGUAGCCCGUUGUACUGGCGUCCAUCAAGAACAUUUACCACGUUUGACCUCGGAUCAGGUAGGGAUACCCGCUGAACUUAAGCAUAUCAAUAAGCGGAGGAA